UCCCUGGUGGCUCAGACUGUAAAGCAUCUGUCUAAAAUGCGGGAGACCUGGGUUCGAUCCCUGGUUCGGGAA
rfam:Ovis aries breed Texel chromosome 2, whole genome shotgun sequence.